AACGUAGGUCCCGAGCGUUAUCCGGAUUUACUGGGCGUAAAGCGUGUUCAGGCGGUCUAGCAAGUCGGGCAUGAAAUCUCUCGGCUCAACCGGGAGGGGUUGUCCGAUACUGCUGGGCUUGAGGGCAGCAGAGGGUGGUGGAAUUCCGGGUGUAGUGGUGAAAUGCGUAGAUAUCCGGAGGAACACCAGUGGCGAAGGCGGCGUUCUGGACUGUUACUGACACUGAGGAACGAAAGCUAGGGGAGCAAACAGG
rnacentral:rRNA from 1 species